CGGGGGGGCAAGCGUUGUUCGGAAUUACUGGGCGUAAAGGGUCUGUAGGUGGCUUGCUAAGUCAGACGUGAAAUCCCUCAGCUUAACUGGGGAACUGCGUCUGAGACUGGCGAGCUUGAGUGCAGGAGAGGAACGCGGAAUUCCAGGUGUAGCGGUGAAAUGCGUAGAUAUCUGGAGGAACACCGGUGGCGAAGGCGGCGUUCUGGACUGCAACUGACACUGAGAGACGAAAGCCAGGGGAGCAAACGGGAUUAGAUACCCCGGUAGUCCUGGCCCUAAACGAUGAAUGCUAGGUGUGGCGGGUAUCGAUCCCUGCCGUGCCGUAGUUAACGCGUUAAGCAUUCCGCCUGGGGAGUCCGGUCGCAAGGCUG
rnacentral:rRNA from 1 species